GUAGCGGUUGGCAUACUCUCACUCGCUCUCACUAGAUGACCAAUUAUUAUUGCAAGAGAGACAUCCACCCCCUCACCAGAGGAUUAUAUAUUGAGAGAGAAAGACAUACACACCCCUGUCUCCUCAGUUGUUGUCAACAAGGCAGAAGGAAGAGUGCUGGAAACAUUGCAUUGAAGAAGUGAAUAUGAUUGUUGUCCAACUCAUCAUACUUUUUUUGAUUUUUAACCAACAUGUUGCUGGUUUGACAUGCAAAACAGG